AUGAACGCUGGCGGCGUGCCUAAUACAUGCAAGUCGAGCGAACAGACGAGGAGCUUGCUCCUCUGACGUUAGCGGCGGACGGGUGAGUAACACGUGGAUAACCUACCUAUAAGACUGGGAUAACUUCGGGAAACCGGAGCUAAUACCGGAUAAUAUAUUGAACCGCAUGGUUCAAUAGUGAAAGACGGUUUUGCUGUCACUUAUAGAUGGAUCCGCGCCGCAUUAGCUAGUUGGUAAGGUAACGGCUUACCAAGGCGACGAUGCGUAGCCGACCUGAGAGGGUGAUCGGCCAAACUGGAACUGAGACACGGUCCAGACUCCUACGGGAGGCAGCAGUAGGGAAUCUUCCGCAAUGGGCGAAAGCCUGACGGAGCAACGCCGCGUGAGUGAUGAAGGUCUUCGGAUCGUAAAACUCUGUUAUUAGGGAAGAACAAAUGUGUAAGUAACUAUGCACGUCUUGACGGUACCUAAUCAGAAAGCCACGGCUAACUACGUG
rnacentral:rRNA from 1 species